AUUAAGCUCACCACGGGUCCUCAUACGCUGAGCUUGGGGCUCUCCUUUGACACUACACAUCCUCGAGGACUGAGCCCCAGCUCUUUCCUUCGAUCUCCUGAAAUCUUCCCAGGGGUUUUAGGGAGGGAGCUGUCACCUACUACGACUGGUGGCCCAGAGACUCAGCUAAUGUCAUUCUCCCAACCCCAGCUGACAGCACUGUUUAGAAUGGUCAUCACCAUUCCCCUGCCUUCCUCUGGCAUUCUUACCUCACAUAGAAUCCGCAUUUCUAAGGAGAUGGCUGGGACCCCGCCCGUCGCUAGUUCAUAAUUCCUAGAAGCUGCUGACUACGUGCUCCAAGCCCUUUCCGUUCAGUUACUGAAUGCUUGCUGAACAGAUGUUUGGAUACACUUUGCCCAUCCUUGCAGGAUAACUGAGUGGUACGUGGUUCCUGGCCCUGGGUCUCUUGGACUGUGCACUGGGACAGAAAGAUAAGGUAGCUGCUGAGCGCAUAGCCCAGGGUGAUGAUGUCAUCACCAAUGAGAGAGAGAACGUCCCUAGUCGCCUGGGUAGAGGGUAGACUGGGGACAGUCAAAGAGACCACGGCUGUCAUGCUGGGACUUUAAACCAAAACAGAGACAAAGAAAAAGGAA
rnacentral:lncRNA from 1 species